rnacentral:rRNA from 2 species
UUGCUUCUAUGACGUUAGCGGCGGACGGGUGAGUAACACGUGGGCAACCUGCCUGUAAGACUGGGAUAACUUCGGGAACCGAAGCUAAUACCGGAUAGGAUCUUCUCCUUCAUGGGAGAUGAUUGAAAGAUGGUUUCGGCUAUCACUUACAGAUGGGCCCGCGGUGCAUUAGCUAGUUGGUGAGGUAACGGCUCACCAAGGCAACGAUGCAUAGCCGACCUGAGAGGGUGAUCGGCCACACUGGGACUGAGACACGGCCCAGACUCCUACGGGAGGCAGCAGUAGGGAAUCUUCCGCAAUGGACGAAAGUCUGACGGAGCAACGCCCGCGUGAGUGAUGAAGGCUUUCGGGUCGUAAAACUCUGUUGUUAGGGAAGAACAAGUACGAGAGUAACUGCUCGUACCUUGACGGUACCUAACCAGAAAGCCACGGCUAACUACGUGCCAGCAGCC